rnacentral:rRNA from 1 species
UUACCUAGCGGCGGACGGGUGAGUAAUGCUUAGGAAUCUGCCUAUUAGUGGGGGACAACAUCUCGAAAGGGAUGCUAAUACCGCAUACGUCCUACGGGAGAAAGCAGGGGACCUUCGGGCCUUGCGCUAAUAGAUGAGCCUAAGUCGGAUUAGCUAGUUGGUGGGGUAAAGGCCUACCAAGGCGACGAUCUGUAGCGGGUCUGAGAGGAUGAUCCGCCACACUGGGACUGAGACACGGCCCAGACUCCUACGGGAGGCAGCAGUGGGGAAUAUUGGACAAUGGGGGGAACCCUGAUCCAGCCAUGCCGCGUGUGUGAAGAAGGCCUUUUGGUUGUAAAGCACUUUAAGCGAGGAGGAGGCUACCGAGAUUAAUACUCUUGGAUAGUGGACGUUACUCGCAGAAUAAGCACCGGCUAACUCUGUGCCAGCAGCCGCGGUAAUACAGAGGGUGCAAGCGUUAAUCGGAUUUACUGGGCGUAAAGCGCGCGUAGGUGGCCAAUUAAGUCAAAUGUGAAAUCCCCGAGCUUAACUUGGGAAUUGCAUUCGAUACUGGUUGGCUAGAGUAUGGGAGAGGAUGGUAGAAUUCCAGGUGUAGCGGUGAAAUGCGUAGAGAUCUGGAGGAAUACCGAUGGCGAAGGCAGCCAUCUGGCCUAAUACUGACACUGAGGUGCGAAAGCAUGGGGAGCAAACAGGAUUAGAUACCCUGGUAGUCCAUGCCGUAAACGAUGUCUACUAGCCGUUGGGGCCUUUGAGGCUUUAGUGGCGCAGCUAACGCGAUAAGUAGACCGCCUGGGGAGUACG